AACGCUAGCUACAGGCUUAACACAUGCAAGUCGAGGGGCAUCAGGAAGAAAGCUUGCUUUCUUUGCUGGCGACCGGCGCACGGGUGAGUAACACGUAUCCAACCUGCCGAUGACUCGGGGAUAGCCUUUCGAAAGAAAGAUUAAUACCCGAUGGUAUAUUUGAAAGGCAUCUUUCAGCUAUUAAAGAAUUUCGGUCAUUGAUGGGGAUGCGUUCCAUUAGGUUGUUGGCGGGGUAACGGCCCACCAAGCCAUCGAUGGAUAGGGGUUCUGAGAGGAAGGUCCCCCACAUUGGAACUGAGACACGGUCCAAACUCCUACGGGAGGCAGCAGUGAGGAAUAUUGGUCAAUGGACGAGAGUCUGAACCAGCCAAGUAGCGUGAAGGAUGACUGCCCUAUGGGUUGUAAACUUCUUUUAUACGGGAAUAAAGUUAGGCACGUGUGCCUUUUUGUAUGUACCGUAUGAAUAAGGAUCGGCUAACUCCGUGCCAGCAGCCGCGGUAAUACGGAGGAUCCGAGCGUUAUCCGGAUUUAUUGGGUUUAAAGGGAGCGUAGGCGGAUGCUUAAGUCAGUUGUGAAAGUUUGAUGCUCAACAUCUGAAUUGCAGCGCGAACUGGGAGACUUGAGUACAGUAGACGUAGGCGGAAUUCGUGGUGUAGCGGUGAAAUGCUUAGAUAUCACGAAGAACUCCGAUUG
rnacentral:rRNA from 1 species